AUUGUUUAUCCCACGCCGGUUCCGCCCGGCAACGCCGCUUUUCACGACGGAGCCACGCUCUUUCAGUAAACGCACGAUACCUAGCGGACCGCAUGUUUGGAGUCUGGCUACCGGCCGAUCACGAAUCCCUUCACGAUAAGUUGAAAGGUUGUCGCGUGUAGGCCGGCUUAUGGGAUUUCGAACGUCGGAAAAGCCUCCAAGUUUUCUUUCCAGACGGGACGGCAACGUCGGACCAGAUACUUCCCAGGUCGAAAAGGGUGCCGAGAACCAGUCCAACCCUUUCUUCCAUCCCGCGCUCCGCGCACUGGGACGGGGAAAAAAGACGAAAGGAACGAAAAAAUCAAAAUAAAACCUCGACAGGCCCUCAUCACCUUUCCUGGAGCUUUAUCCGACCAGGCAUCAACCACGAUUUGAGGAAAAUUUUGGAUUAAAUUAGUCGAGGUGGUAUUUGACCCAUUUUCUUCGGUUAAACAGUCGUACAGUUUUGGCAUCCAGAACUCCAGAAUCUUGUAGUACUUUGAGAAUUCACGCUCGUGGACGGAACAUACAAAUUAAAUUUCUGGUUAUGAAUUGGUAAUAUCACAUUUUAAAGUACAAUUAUCCUUAUGUCUACGAACAGGAAAAAGUGUAAUAAAAGUGGUAUGUAUACAUGGUACAGUGCGCAUCAUUUAGUGGAUAAAACUAUUCCCAGAAUUUUCCCAGUACUUGAGGUUGUCAACCAUUGCAAUGGCCUUUUUUUGGGCAGCAAAAGCAUAUUUGCCCGAAGCCAAUUGACCUCAACCAAUAACCCAUACGUUAUAUGUGAAUAAAUAAAAGCAUAAAAAACA